AGUUAAAAUAUAAUUUCAGGAAAGAAAUCAUCAUAGAGCCGCACACAGACGGAGGCAGAAGCCCAGAAGCCCAAGCGUGGAGAGGCACUAAAAGUAAAACAUCAAAGUGAAUGCCGUGGCCACCGUGGCGGUGGCAGGAGCAGGAGACGCACAUACACUGUACAAAAUUAUAUAUGCUACUUAAAGACAAAAUGGUACAAAAUCUCAAGUUUGCCCCGACAUAUCUUCAGAUACAGCCAUGUGUUGCAAAGACUGUGCUUGUCACAGCUCAAGCGAGCUGCAGAGACAGAGACAGAGAAAGAGAAAGAGACAACCCUCAAAGUUCCGUCCGGACUCCAUGCACCGCAGCCCCACACUCCAAAAACUCCGGAGUGGUCUGGCAGUUGUUGAGGGAAUGUUGAAUGGAAGAGAACGACGCAUUUACGUAUCCCUCCCACGCACAGCCAUGUUUCAUUUUUUGUACUCACGAGUAUCUGUGCAUGUGGAGCCCCUGAGACAUCAACCGUUUGAAUGCGUAAUUGAUUUAGCAGCAAACAAAAAACAAAAA